rnacentral:rRNA from 1 species
UUUCCCUACGGGGCGCAGCAGUGGGGAAUAUUGGGCAAUGGGCGCAAGCCUGACCCAGCAACGCCGCGUGAAGGAAGAAGGCUUUCGGGUUGUAAACUUCUUUUCUCAGGGACGAAGCAAGUGACGGUACCUGAGGAAUAAGCCACGGCUAACUACGUGCCAGCAGCCGCGGUAAUACGUAGGUGGCAAGCGUUAUCCGGAUUUACUGGGUGUAAAGGGCGUGUAGGCGGGGACGCAAGUCAGAUGUGAAAUC